CUGCUCCUAAUUCAAGGAGUGUGUAUAUGUAUGGGAAUCCUAGAAGUACCUAUGGAGUAUUACUAGACAAUCUUCAAAUCAGAUGAGUGAAGAAUUUUCCUAGUGUCACAUGUGUGACAACUCCUUACUCAUGUCACCUUCUCAUCCUAUUGGUGAUCCAGACCCCAGAUUAUGCUUCAGUGGAUUACUCCCCCUGAAUACUGUCCCUGCCAGCAGGGCCGCAGCUGAAAGCGGGUCAGCUAUUGAGCUCAGGAGGCAGCUUUGAGCUGAGCCCACAGGUGACGACAUAUUCCACUUCCAUCAAUCACCACCUAGGUCCUGCUUGGAGUAGCAGCAAAAGAAAACACAAAGCCGUCUCUCUCAUCUCAGCCUUCUUUCUUCCAUCCUUGUGACCAAUGAUAUAUAAAGUUUGCUUCCAGGAACUGAGGAAGGAUCCACGGUCCUGCUGAAAUCCUCCUGAUUCUUCUUUUUUCCAAGUUACCUUGCACUCACGAUGCGCCUUCUCUACCUUAUGCUCCUGGUCCUUGUUAUUCUUUGCCAGGUACUCUCAGUGGAUGGAAAGAAGUCUGACAUUCCUUCCUGUUACUUUUAUCGGGGCAUCUGCCGGAAUAAAAAAGAAAUCAAAUGCAUGCCCUUGCCUGGAAGAUGCCCAAAUUCUAAGAAACACUGCUGCAGGAAAGGACUUUAACCUAUUACGGCAAACUCUGGAGGAUUUGGGGGAGAUUCCUGUCCCAGUUGCCUUCUGCUGAAUAAAACUAGCAAUGUCCUUAUUCCAUUUUCCUUAGUCAACAAUAUGAUUCAAAUCAACACAUUUGU